UGUGAUUAUAAUAAGCCAAUUUCAUCCGGCCUAAAUAAAAAUAAAUAAACAAAAUAAAAUAAAGAGUCCAAAGUCCAAUGAUACAAAAAAAAACCAAUGCCCAAAUAUACAAACCCUAACCCAAUAACUCCGGGGCCCAAACUACUAGUGGCCCAAAAGAACCUAAACUUUUCAGAAAUCCAGAAACCCUAGGGUUCCUAACGCCCCACCCCCUUCACAGGCACGCCGCCCGAGGCUCCUCGUCCCGAGGCCUAAUGCACCUCUGCCACCCUUGCAUUAAAACGGCGAAGGCAAGGGCCGCCAUCCCACUGUUGACCACGCACCGUCACCUGUAAAGAAAAAGAACGAAAGGACAGAAAACGCAGAAACAAUAAAAGAAAACAGUAGCAAAAAUAGUAGAUACAAUAAAAUAUAUAUAAUAUAUAUAUAAUCGGAUAUAAAAGUCGGAUUCAAAAUGUAUUUUAGGAGAGAUAAAAAGCAAUCAAAAAAGAUAUACAAAGAAAUUCUCAAAGGUGAUUUAUUUUUUUUAAAUCUGUUAUUUUCUUUUUCUUUUUCUUUUUUAAAAAGAAACACAACAUAAAAUAAAAAAGAAGAAAACUCACCUGAAGCUUCGUCUUCGGCCGUCGUGGGUGGGCGAUGACUCAUUCUCUAAGGAGGGAUGGUCUUCUCCGAUGCAAAGGACCUCCGAAUCCCUAGAGAUUUGUUGGGGGCUUCGCUGGAGAGAAGGAAAUCGAAAGGUUUUCCCUUUUUUUAAGAAAAAAAUUGGCUUUAGUUCUGACGGCUUUAACCCCAAAUCAAAGUUCUACGCAAAGUAACGAGCAAAAGGGGGCAUUUUGGUUUUCUUAGGCCAUCGGAGGCACGGCGAACGAACAACAGCCUCGUCGCCGAAAGUGGAUAGAGUUUUGAGAGAGAGAAAACAAGGGAAGAG
rnacentral:lncRNA from 1 species